rnacentral:tRNA from 1 species
GCGCUCGUAGCUCAGCUGGAUAGAGCGUGGGUCUCCGAAGCCCAAGGUCGCGCGUUCGAAUCGCGCCGAGCGCGCCA